UCCAGUCGAUGCUGCUGGAGGGCACUGCUAUCAGAUUUCGACAGCCAUGCAAGUCGGCUCAACGGCUUCGUUGGGCGGCGUACGGCUCAGUAACACGUAGUUAACCUAACGUAAAGAGGCGAAUAACCUCGGGAAACUGAGGCUAAUGCACCAUAGGCUAGAACACCUGGAAGGAGUACUAGUCGAAAGGGGCGCAAAUCGCAGCGUUUCCGCUUUACGAUGGGACUGCGGCGGAUCAGGCAGAUGGCGGGGUAACGGCCCACCAUACCGAUAACCCGUAGGGGAUGUGGGAGCAUAGGCCCCGAGAAGGGCACUGAGACAAUGGCCCUAGCGCUACGGCGUGCAGCAGGCGCGCAAACUCCACAAUGCGCGUAAGCGUGAUGGGGGGAAUCUGAGUGGUUCACUUAGUGAACCUUUUGCCAAGUACAGCAAGCUUGGAGAAUAAGUGCUGGGCAAGACCGGUGGCAGCCGCCACGGUAAUACCGGCAGCACAAGUGGUGUCCACGAUUAUUGGGCUUAAAGCGCUCGUAGCCGGCCGAUGUCGUCUCGCGUGAAAUAUUGGCGCUCAACGUCAAUGCGGGCGUGAGAUACCCAUCGGCUAGGGAGCGGGUGAGGUCAGGAGUACUUAUGGGGGAGGGGCUAAAUCCUGUAAUCCCAUAAGGACUAACAGUGGCGAAGGCGCCUGACUAGAACGCAUCCGACGGUGAGGAGCGAAGGCUAGGAGAACGAAUCGGAUCAGAUACCCGAGUAGCCCUAGCAGUAAAUUAUGCAGACUCUGGUGUUGCAAGCAUCACGAAUGCUUGCAGUACCGUAGCACAAGUGUUAAGUCUGCCGCCUGGGGAGUACGGCCGCAAGGUUGAAACUUAAAGCAAUUGGCGGGGGAGCACACAAGGGGUGGAUGCUGCGGUUUAAUUGAAUCCAACGUCGGAAAUCUUACCAGAAGCGACGGCAGGGUGAAGGUCAGACUGAAGAUCUUACUUGACAAGCCGAGAGGUAGUGCAUGGCGACCGUCAGCUCGUGGUGUGAACUGUCCGGUUAAGUCCGGUAAGUCUAUGAGUGAUGCGAUGACGCAAAAACUAAAACUGAACCCAAACAUAUGUUACAUUAUCGGCAUAUACGCUGCCGGUAGAAAGGAAGGCAUAGGAGUCGAAUCUAGCGAGGAUCCGCUUAUAGAGAGAUUCGUCAAGAUCUCUAUGGACGAGUUCUCGUUGGAGCCGAACAGGAUACGCAUAGAGAAGGCGCAUGGAAACAUCACGCAUGCGUACUUCUACAACUCCAGGAUAAAGAAGUUCAUAGAAAAGACCCUGGAGAGGAAGGAACACGUAUUCAAGUACAGGAACGGCUAUUCAGGGGCGUAUUUCGCCGGGAUAUUCGACUGCAUAGGGUCCGUUGAAAAAAGCGGACUACGCAUGCGCGGC
rnacentral:rRNA from 1 species